CGACUUCUCCAGAAAAACAUUUUCAGCCCAUAAAAAUCACAUGACCCCAGAGAUCUAUAUUGAGGAAGGAAGUGAGAGUCACAGUAUGUGAAUGCCAAAGGAUGACUUGAUCUGAAUUUACAUAGACCCAAAAUCUCCCUGAGCCCUAGGAGGGAGACAAUUGUGGGAAGCCAUGUUACCAUUCAAUGCUGGGCCAAAAGUCCAGGAUGGAUCAGAGAAAGUUGUGCUUCUUCAGACUAGUAAAAUUUUGAAGGAGGUAAGUCUCCACAUACAUAGCACUAAAUCUUAAGGAAGUUUCCAACAUGGAUCUGCGAGUGAGUAAAAGCAUCUCUUGGUCUGACACAGGGUAAGUAGUUUCUGCAGACCUCCCCCCAGCCCAACGUGUGCUUUGUUUGUGAGGCAUUGUUUAGUUCUACAGUAGAGGGACUGUAUAUCCUUUGAUAUGAACUUAGAAAAGCUAACACACUGGAAAAUAUUGGUCUUUCAGGAGCUACUGGUCUCCGUUUUCUUAUCCUCAAAUGUGAUCUCUGUCCCUGCACUUUGUAUGUGCCUGGUGCUGUGCAAUGAAGGGCUACAACUCUGUCUGCAGUUAGGGAUGCUGAGAACUUUGAUGUGAAUGUGAUCCUCAGCCAAACAUACUGUGAUCAAACUGUUGUCAUUCAAAGUUUGGAUCAAAUGCCAUGUGUCUUGGAGCCUGUGCAGUAGGUGUUUGUGCUACAGGGUCAACAUGACUAGGUUGUGUCUUGGUAAAUAUGGGUUGCUGCUUGUAGCUGUUUUUGCACCUGUGCAUUUUGUGAACUAAACCUUCUCAAGUCACUGGAGAAGAAGGCAAGAUUCCCCAGGGUGACCAAUGUGUUAUUAAAGUAUCUACUUGUUGAGCACAUAAUCACGUGCAUUUUACCAUUCUUUUUGCUUUCACAGGGGCCGUCUAUACUGCAGCUGAAAUCUGGUUUUUCUUUGCCUUCGGGGUACCUCUGAUCAUAGGCGUUUGGGGCGAUUGUUCCACACAACAGGUUUUUAUAUGGGACUUCCCCAUGUGUGUGUCCUACCUUCGUUUACAGACUGUUCCAUUUGUGAUGAUUCCUCCCCACCCUUUUUGGCACUUGCACUGUUGUGAUGGGGUAAUUUACUACCCCAUUGACUUUUCCAGUUAUCAUCACAGGCAAAUUGUACCUUACGUAUGUGUCUGUCCUUUGGUAAGCUGCAUCCCCACAUUUGACUGGUUACUUUGAUUGGUUGUACUAGCCUCCCUUCCCUUUCUGAUAGCUAUGAUCAUGGAACUAAGGGGAUGUGGCUUUGGAAAGUUAUUGUUGAGGUUCUUCAGAGAACCCUUAGGCUGUUUUAUU